rnacentral:rRNA from 1 species
UACGAAGGGGGCUAGCGUUGUUCGGAAUCACUGGGCGUAAAGCGCACGUAGGCGGAUCUUUUAAGUCAGAGGUGAAAUCCCAAGGCUCAACCUUGGAACUGCCUUUGAUACUGGGGAUCUUGGAGUCCGGGAGAGGUGAGUGGAACUGCGAGUGUAGAGGUGAAAUUCGUAGAUAUUCGCAAGAACACCAGUGGCGAAGGCGGCUCACUGGCCCGGUACUGACGGCUGAG